UUUCCAUCCCUGCCCUUAGAAACCUAAUCGAUGCCCUCGAAACUAACUACACGCCUCCUCAUCUUCCCUGUUCAGUUAAACCCUUUAUAAAGCCAGUUAAAGCACCUACCAGUUUUCAUAAAUCAUCCCCAAUUGAGUGUGAGUUUCAAAACCGAUUUGUUUACAAAUAUGCGUUAAUUUAUUGUUUGUUUUCUCAUCAACUUCGAUCUGAUCUCCUUAUGUAUGUGUAGAUUUUGUUGUUUGUUAGGGUUUGAGAUUUGAGAUUUAGGUCAAUGGCUCUCCUCGGUAAAUACCCAAUGCUCCUUCAUCUUCUAUAAAACUCUACAAGAACAUAAGCCUGGAUCGUAAGAAGCAUUCUCAGGAUCACCACUUUUCCCAUUCAAGAACAGAAGGGGGGUCAAGAACAUCAUCGCAUAGUUCGUAAUUCUGGUUACGUUUAAGCAGCCGGAAUCGGCGAAAAAAGCGUGUGAAGAUCCGACGCCGGUGAUUAACGGCCGUUGUGCGAAUUGUAACCUAGCAUCGCUUGGUGCUCGUCGUCAGAGAACGUUAACCGUUUUUCACCGCCACCGCACCACCAAUCCUUUUAGUCCAAAAUAAGAUCAUUUGGGAAGAAUGAUGAUGGAAGAGAAAAUCGGUCAGAUGGUUCAGAUUCAAAUGCUUGCAGCUACUCCUGAUAUCAUGAGGAAACUUACUAAUUGGUGGAGGGAGUGUUGAUUGGAUUAAUAUGCUACACGAGCUCCAACAUUUUCUACAUGGUCAUGGAUCCAAUGAUUUAUGGAAUUGUUGCUGAUCAUAGUCACAACAAUGUUAUUUAUGCUACAAUAUUUCCACAUAAUAUUGGCCAUAUAGUACUGUUCAAUUAAAGAAGUUAGACUAAUUGCAUACAUUCAAAAUAACCUCUCUUUUAUAAUUGUUUUAAUCUUAAAUGCACACUAGGGACACUAAUCUUGUGAAGAGAAUAGGUGCAACCACUAUCGCUGAAGUCAGAGCUAUCAGAAUUUCAUAUGCAUUCGCUCCUUGUAUUGAUGUAAGUAUAAUAAAAUAUUUAAGUAUGUGUCUAUAAAGAACUGUUUUUAUAGGUAUGCAGAGAUCUAAUAUGGGGACGUGCUAUGAGAGUUACAGCGAGGAUAAUGAACUUGUUCAAAGUAUGAAUAAGAUUGUAUUAGGAUUGCAAGGUGAAAAUUUUCAGGGAUCACGGUUGGGUGUCCCAUAUGUUGAUAGGGUUGGUGGUGGAGUUUAAAUGGGCAGAUUGUAACAAGUAGUACUUAGCGUGCAACAAUGCAAGUCGGUUCGGGUCGGGUCGUGCUGAGUGUAGGCUGUCAUAGUUAGAGAAGUUCCUUUUUGUUGUGAAACUAGCCUAAUAGCAAAAAGAACAUAAAAAACAAUAUGGAGAAAGAGAUUGAU